rnacentral:misc_RNA from 1 species
UUAAGUUCAGCGGGUAUCCCUACCUGAUCCGAGGUCAACCUGUAAAAAAGAUUGGGGGGGUUGCUGGCCAGUGCCGCCCGGGACCCUGUAGCGAGAAGAUUUACUACGCUCAGGGCCGGCCGGACCGCCACUGGUUUUGAGGCCCGCCAGGCGGCGGUGCCCAAGACCCCGCGAACGGGAUGGGUCAUAAUGACGCUCGA